CAGGAUCAGAAGACAACAUGGUUUACAUUUGGAAUCUACAAACAAAAGAAACUGUACAAAAAUUACAGGGACAUACAGAUGUUGUUCUCUGCUGUACCUGUCAUCCAUCAGAAAACAUCAUUGCCUCGGGAACACUUGAAAAUGAUAAAACAAUUAAAAUAUGGAAGUCGGACUACUAAGUUUUACCACAGACUUAUUCAUUGUACAUAAACGUGGAACAUUUUAUAUAUUUCAAGUUGCUUUUGAAAAAAAAUAUGUCUACAGAAAAAAAAAAAUGGAAUUUAAAUAGUCUUUCUGAUGUUAAUCAUCAUUAUAAGUUUGGUUUGGAAAUGUUUGUUAUAUUCUAUAUUGAAACCAAGUUGCCAUGGUGACUGUAGGAUGAAGUUUUCACUUUCUCUCAACAUUGGACCAAAACACUGAUAUGUUAAAUGAAACUUCACUGUGGUGGCAGCAAGAUGUAAGUAAGCUUUCUAUGUGCAGUUUUCCGGAGACUUACUCGGUAUUUCAUGAUAUAUCCAUCAUAAUUUAUUCUUACACCACCUAAGCAUAAUGUUAAUUAUUUUAAAAUACACUUAUGAUAAUUUUCUUUUGACUUUUGUGAGUCAGUGAAAAUAUCAACAUUUUUAGCAUGGUUCAUUUGAUUGCACGCCUAAGUAUUAAUUUUUCAACAUGUGUUGGAGAACAAAAAAAUAAAACUGCAAGGUUCUGUAACAUCUCGCCACUCUGGUUUAGUAUUACAUUGUUAGUACUACAAUUGUUUUCUUCGAGAAUACGGGUCAGUUCACAAGUGGAAACGAGGAACCAUCUGUUAUUUUAGAAUGUUUGGUGGCAUGUUUUGAUCAGUUUUUAUGAUGAACACACCAGAAAAUCAGAAGUUACUUUGCAUAGUGUUGACAAACACCUUUAUGGCUAUAUUAUGUUUUGUUGUUUCAAGUUUGAAUUGAAAGAGAUUAUAUACUUCAUUUCUGAGCAUGUUUCAAUUUCAACCAACUUUGUGCCCGACAGUCAACCAAUGAAAUGAAUUUAAUUGGCUGUUUCUUUUUGUGGGGGGGGGGGUAUUCAAAUUAUUUUACACUUGGGUAGGAAAAUUAUGAAUAAACAUGAUUCCUUAAUUAUUCUGU